AGCAAAAGUGGGCUGUGGCUAUUUGAAAAUCAGAGCAUCUUUUAAAAGGGAGACGGCAUCUGAACCUUGCCGAGUAGGAAUGUUCCAGAAGUAAGAGAGAUGACUAGGGUUUCAAGAACAAGGACCAGCACCUAUGAAGGCUCUGAGGCACAGACCACUGUGACCUGUGGAGAAGUGACAGCAAAGUGAAAGGCACGUUUUGAUUACUACCGACAUUCACAGUCUGGACACGGGUGACAAAUCUAAAAGAUAUUGCCCAUUCGUCCAACUGCCGCUGUCCUGCCAGUAUAUCGUCUGAGAUUACCAUCAGCUAAAUAUUGCAUUGUCUUUGGACAAUUUUCCUACAUUGUGACUCCUCACUACAUUUUCAAUGCUUUUCUAGUCCCAGACAAGCUACAGACUGUUAAUUUACACUUGCUUUUGCCUUGCCUGAGGAAAUUGAAAAUAAAUUUUAAUUUCCUAGUCAAGGGCUACGGGUGCUUUGUGUGGUUUGGAGGAAAAAAAAAUACUGUUAGAUGGAAUUAGGGAAUAUUAGGAGAGUUUCUGAAGUUAGUGAAGGUACACAGUAAUUGAUCACUUGCCCUCAUAGUGAGAGGUCAUUCCAAUGAGCAGAGGUUCUGUCAAUAUCUGAGAUCUGUUUGAUACCUGGCCUCAAUCUGUCGAUCACGCCCAGUAACCAUAUUCAUAGGCUUCAGAUCUGAAUUUUGAAUUGCAUCAGAAGCUUUCCUCUGGCCUCAGAGAUGCCAUUGAGACCAUUCUCAUAGUUAGUCACCACUCACACUACACAAAAUGGAAGAAAAAAACUUCCUUUGGGGCAAAUCAACAAUCUCUGGUAGGAAAAUAAACAAGGAUGCUUUCAGAAUACCAGAAGCCCAAGUCUGAGCAUCUGGAGGCAAAGGAAGAGUAGAGAAGUCUUUGUUGGUGGGACCACUGCCUGUAGGAAUUUAAGGGAACUUGGAUCUUAGGAGUUGCUCAGUUAAGUCCUAGAGAGAGCCUAAGUGGGACUGAUGAGAAGCAGAACAAAUUGCUAUUUCUGAGAAGAAAAACCAACACUUUUGGAUGUUAACUUUUGGAUGUUUGAAUUUUUUGUUUUAGUUUUUAUUCCUUUUGGGAAAAGCUAUUUUUAUCGCAAAAAAAUAUGUAAAGCUAGCAACAAAAUAGUUGAAAGUAUUUAUUGUGUACCUACUGUGUGAUAAUAGCAGCUGGGUUUCAAACACAAGUGAAUAUGAAAUAAAUGAGCCCUAGAUGCACAAAAAUAC
rnacentral:lncRNA from 1 species